rnacentral:piRNA from 1 species
UAAAGUGUUUUUUGCUGUGAUAUGGUGACU